UUCCGUCACAGUUGUGACGAUUUGGGUCUGCACCGGAAGUGCCUGUGCUGCCGAUGUGGUACCUUUUGACCGCGGUUUCGGUCGCUCUGCCUUGUUUUCCUUGCUGGGUGUUUGCGUUGCGCCAUGGCGCCCAAGGGCAAAGUGGGCACGAGAGGGAAGAAGCAGAUAUUUGAAGAGAACAGAGAGACUCUGAAGUUCUAUUUGCGGAUCAUACUGGGGGCAAAUGCCAUUUACUGUCUUGUGACCUUGGUGUUCUUCUACUCAUCUGCCUCAUUUUGGGCCUGGAUGGCCCUGGGCUUUAGCCUGGCAGUAUAUGGGGCCAGCUACCACUCUAUGAGCUCAAUGGCACGGGCAGCCUUUUCUGAGGAUGGGGCCCUGAUGGAUGGUGGAAUGGACCUCAACAUGGAGCAGGGCAUGGCAGACCUCCUUUCUAUUCACAGGCACCUUAAGGAUGUGAUUCUACUGACAGCCAUCGUGCAAGUGCUUAGCUGCUUCUCCCUCUACAUCUGGUCCUUCUGGCUUCUGGCUCCAGGCCGGGCCCUUUACCUUCUGUGGGUGAAUGUGUUGGGCCCUUGGUUUACAGCAGACAGUGGCACCCCAGCACCGGAGCACAAUGAGAAACGGCAACGCCGGCAGGAGCGGCGGCAGAUGAAGCGGUUAUAGCCACUGACAUUAUGGCCACAGGCUGCACGGCCCCCAUGCCAGGAGCAAGGAGGGCCUCGUCCAGGGCCCAAAAGCGGUCUAAGGAUGGACACCAGAUUGGCCCAAGGAAGACAGCCUGACACAGAAAGGGGAGCAGU